GAUGAACUGUGCUGCAGGCUGAAUGCCUGGAAAUCCCCAGCCUAGAAGUCUAAUGACAAGCCCCACAUGCAAUCCACUGCUGCCACAGUAAAGAUUAAUCUCAAAUACAAGCAUGGAUUCUUCAGAUGGGAUUCUUGGCUGCCUACAUUUGUCUCACUCAGGACACCAGUGUGUACUAUCAUCUAUUUCAAGGGAAAUUGGUCUUGCGUGCCUCUUCUCCUAGGGAGUCAGCAUGCAAAAUCAAGGUUUCCUUUUACAUUUAAGUAAAUUGUUAUUCUGCUCUGCCUACUUGAAGCUCUACAGAAAAACUUAGCUUGGGUUUUUAAUACAUUGCAAUGACUGAUUCUCAAUCCAAAUGCAAUUUGUUUAACUUUAUGUCCAGUUUAGAGCUUUGAACUUCUUGUAAAACACUGUAUAAAGUACUGAGUGUUCUUGUACUUCCUAAUUCUGCCUGGCAUUUACAACAAUUCUUUCAUUAUCUCUAAGGGCAUGGCUCUGCCAAAACGGGCUUAGAGUUUGAUCCACUUCAUUGCUAUGAAUAAGAGCCUGUCCGUGGACUUCAAUGCAAGUUGAUUCACACUCUUUAUUGCUUCACCUUUACAAACUGAAUUCCAGGCUGUUCACCAUGGUAAAAACCUUGGCAGUAUUGAAGUGAAUGGGAUAUUUGCUGUGGAAUUCAAAAGAGCCAGGAUUUCAGCUAGAAUGUUUAAUAUCUCGCUGUUUAAACCUGUUUUCAGCCUUUGGAUUUGACUUGAACAUUCUACUUUGAAAUAGAUGCAGGAGAUGAAGGUGAAAUAAAAUGUCCAUAUUGAAGCUUGAUUAAAGUCAGAGUUACUGUUAGAUACUUGGUGUUAACUACAGCUGUAUAGGAUAGAAUUUACUGAGGUAAUUUGCCCAUUAAAGGCAAUCCUGUGACACGCCUGAGUCAAGGGGAUACCACCCAAGUGCUAACUCAGACUUUAAAUCCUGUGUGUCAGUACUUGCUUUUCACUAAUAAAAGUGCAUUCAC